rnacentral:rRNA from 1 species
UGGGGAAUAUUGCACAAUGGGGGAAACCCUGAUGCAGCGACGCCGCGUGAGCGAUGAAGGCUUUCGAGUCGUAAAGCUCUGUCCUAUGGGAAGAUAAUGACGGUACCAUAGAAGAAAGCCCCGGCUAAUUACGUGCCAGCAGCCGCGGUAAUACGUAAGGGGCGAGCGUUGUCCGGAAUUAUUGGGCGUAAAGAGUGCGUAGGCGGCAAAUUAAGUCAGAUGUGAAAACUAAGGGCUCAACCCAUAGAUUGCAUCUGAAACUGAUAUGCUUGAGUCAAGGAGAGGAAAGUGGAAUUCCUAGUGUAGCGGUGGAAUGCGUAGAUAUUAGGAGGAAUACCGGUGGCGAAGGCGACUUUCCGGACUUGAACUGACGCUGAGGCACGAAAGCGUGGGGAGCAAACAGG